UGGGUAACCUACCCAUAAGACUGGGUAUAACUCCGGGAAACCGGGGCUAAUACCGGAUAAUAUGUUUGAACUGCAUAGUUCGAAAUUGAAAGGCGGCUUCGGCUGNCACUUAUGGAUGGACCCGCGUCGCAUUAGCUAGUUGGUGAGGUAACGGCUCACCAAGGCGACGAUGCGUAGCCGACCUGAGAGGGUGAUCGGCCACACUGGGACUGAGACACGGCCCANACUCCUACGGGAGGCAGCAGUAGGGAAUCUUCCGCAAUGGACGAAAGUCUGACGGAGCAACGCCGCGUGAGUGAUGAAGGCUUUCGGGUCGUAAAACUCUGUUGUUAGGGAAGAACAAGUGCUAGUUGAAUAAGCUGGCACCUUGACGGUACCUAACCANAAAGCCACGGCUAACUACGUGCCAGCAGCCGCGGNAAUACGUAGGUGGCAAGCGUAANCCCCGGNAAUUUNUUGGGGCGUAAAGCGCGCGCAGGUGGUUUCUUAAGUCUGAUGUGAAAGCCCACGGCUCAACCGUGGNAGGGUCAUUGGAAACUGGGAGACUUGAGUGCAGAAGAGGAAAGUGGAAUUCCAUGUGUAGCGGUGAAAUGCGUAGAGAUAUGGAGGAACACCCAGUGGCGAAGGCGA
rnacentral:rRNA from 1 species